rnacentral:rRNA from 1 species
UACGAAGGGGGCUAGCGUUGCUCGGAAUGACUGGGCGUAAAGGGCGCGUAGGCGGCUUGCAUAGUCAGAUGUGAAAUUCCUGGGCUUAACCUGGGGGCUGCAUUUGAUACGUGUGGGCUUGAGUGCGGAAGAGGGUCGUGGAAUUCCCAGUGUAGAGGUGAAAUUCGUAGAUAUUGGGAAGAACACCGGUGGCGAAGGCGGCGACCUGGCCCGUGACUGACGCUGAGGCGCGAAAGCGUGGGGAGCAAACAGG